rnacentral:rRNA from 1 species
UACAGAGGUCCCGAGCGUUGUUCGGAUUCACUGGGCGUAAAGGGUGCGUAGGUGGUGAGGUAAGUCGGAUGUGAAAUCUCCGAGCUCAACUCGGAAAAUGCAUUGGAAACUACCUUGCUUGAGGAUUGGAGGGGGGACUGGAAUACUUGGUGUAGCAGUGAAAUGCGUAGAUAUCAAGUGGAACACCAGUGGCGAAGGCGAGUCCCUGGACAAAUCCUGACACUGAGGCACGAAAGCUAGGGGAGCAAACAGG